CCGUAGGUGAACCUGCGGAGGGAUCAUUACACAAAUAUGAAGGCGGGCUGGAACCUCUCGGGGUUACAGCCUUGCUGAAUUAUUCACCCUUGUCUUUUGCGUACUUCUUGUUUCCUUGGUGGGUUCGCCCACCACUAGGACAAACAUAAACCUUUUGUAAUUGCAAUCAGCGUCAGUAACAAAUUAAUAAUUACAACUUUCAACAACGGAUCUCUUGGUUCUGGCAUCGAUGAAGAACGCAGCGAAAUGCGAUAAGUAGUGUGAAUUGCAGAAUUCAGUGAAUCAUCGAAUCUUUGAACGCACAUUGCGCCCUUUGGUAUUCCAAAGGGCAUGCCUGUUCGAGCGUCAUUUGUACCCUCAAGCUUUGCUUGGUGUUGGGCGUCUUGUCUCUAGCUUUGCUGGAGACUCGCCUUAAAGUAAUUGGCAGCCGGCCUACUGGUUUCGGAGCGCAGCACAAGUCGCACUCUCUAUCAGCAAAGGUCUAGCAUCCAUUAAGCCUUUUUUUCAACUUUUGACCUCGGAUCAGGUAGGGAUACCCGCUGAACUUAAGCAUAUCAAUAAGCGGAGGAAAAGAAACCAACAGGGAUUGCCCUAGUAACUG
rnacentral:rRNA from 1 species